GCGGUAACAGGGGAAGCUUGCUUCCCGCUGACGAGCGGGGGACGGGUGAGUAAUGUGUGGGGAUCUGCCCGAUAGAGGGGGAUAACUACUGGGAACGGGAGCUAAUACCGCAUAAUCUCUCAGGAGAAAAGCAGGGGAACUUCGGUCCUUGCGCUAUCGGAUGAACCCAUAUGGGAUUAGCUAGUGGGGGAGGUAAUGGCUCACCUAGGCGACGAUCCCUAGCUGGGCUGAGAGGAUGAUCAGCCACACUGGGACUGAGACACGGCCCACACUCCUACGGGAGGCAGCAGUGGGGAAUAUUGCACAAUGGGCGCAAGCCUGAUGCAGCCAUGCCGCGUGUAUGAAGAAGGCCCUAGGGUUGUAAAGAACUUUCAGUCGGGAGGAAGGCGUUGAUGCUAAUAUCAUCAACGAUUGACGUUACCGACAGAAGAAGCACCGGCUAACUCCGCGCCACCAGCCGCGGUAAUACGGAGGGUGCAAGCGUUAAUCGGAAUUACUGGGCGUAAAGCGCACGCAGGCGGUUGAUUAAGUUAGAUGUGAAAUCCCCGGGCUUAACCUGGGAAUGGCAUCUAAGACUGUGUCAGCUAUAGUCUUGUAGAGGGGGGUAGAAUUCCAUGUGUAGCGGUGAAAUGCGUAGAGAUGUGGAGGAAUACCGGUGGCGAAGGCGGCCCCCUGGACAAAGACUGACGCUCCAGUGCGAAAGCGUGGGGAGCAAACAGGAUUAGAUACACCUGUGUAGACCACGCUGUAAACGAUGUCUAUAUUGUGAGGUUGUUCGCCUAUAGGAGUGUGCUUUCGCGAGCUAACGCGCGUAUAAUCGACACGCGCUGUGGGAGUACAGGCGCGAAGGGUAUAAACUCUCAAUGUAUUUGACACGGGGGCCGCACAAGACGCUGGA
rnacentral:rRNA from 1 species